CGGAGGGAGCUAGCGUUGUUCGGAAUUACUGGGCGUAAAGCGCGCGUAGGCGGCUUUUCAAGUCAGGGUGAAAUCCCGGGGCUCAACCCCGGAACUGCCCUUGAAACUGGAUGGCUAGAAUACUGGAGAGGUGAGUGGAAUUCCGAGUGUAGAGGUGAAAUUCGUAGAUAUUCGGAAGAACACCAGUGGCGAAGGCGACUCACUGGACAGUUAUUGACGCUGAGGUGCGAAAAGCGUGGGGAGCAAACAGGAUU
rnacentral:rRNA from 1 species